rnacentral:rRNA from 1 species
UAAGGAAUAUUGGGCAAUGGACGCAAGUCUGACCCAGCCAUGCCGCGUGAAGGAUGACGGCCCUAUGGGUUGUAAACUUCUUUUGUACGGGAAAAAACCUUCGAACGUGUUCGAAGCUGAUGGUACCGUAAGAAUAAGCAUCGGCUAACUCCGUGCCAGCAGCCGCGGUAAUACGGAGGAUGCAAGCGUUAUCCGGAUUCAUUGGGUUUAAAGGGUGCGUAGGCGGGAUAAUAAGUCAGUGGUGAAAGCCUACAGCUUAACUGUAGAACUGCCAUUGAUACUGUUAACCUUGAGUACAAUUGAAGUGGGCGGAAUGUGUCAUGUAGCGGUGAAAUGCUUAGAUAUGACACAGAACACCGAUAGCGAAGGCAGCUCACUAAACUGUAACUGACGCUGAGGCACGAAAGCGUGGGGAUCAAACA